UGUAUGUUCAGGCUGUCAAGUUAGAACUUGUUGAAAACAGUUCUGACUGUGGUGCCAGAGUUGAACUGAACUUUGCAAAAGCAAAAGCGAACCAUUACCAUGUCUGCCAUCUGGCUUAAGUUCUCUACCAUCCUAUGUCUCUGCUGCACCGCAGAGAUGAAAUUGGUUUGGAAAAAACCUGGACAAUCCAUCACAAUCCAGUGCAAAUCAAGUUCUGAUUAUGAAAGUCUGCAAUUAAAAAAGGGCAUCCACGUGGAGACUGUCAUUUUUACUAAACACAGAGACACGGGAAAGGAAGCUAUUAAUACAGAAAUGAUACAUAGAGUUCAAACACAUGGAAAAUCCCUAAAUGUGGAUAUUCUCAUCAAAGACUUGAAUGAAAAUGACACGGAUGUAUACUGGUGUAUGUAUACCAAACUAAGUGCUACUUAUACAGAAGUUAUCGAAAAAGGACAGGGAUCCAUACUGCUGGUUGUUGCUGGGAGUAAGCCACAUAAG